rnacentral:tRNA from 1 species
ACAACUGUGGCUGAAAAAAGCGAGGAACUGUAAAUUCUUUCAUAGAUAAAUAUCUCUUUGUCAU